CCCAGUUCAAAAGUUUACAUACGCUUGAUUCUUGAUACUGUGUGUUGUUACCUGGAUGAUCAGCAACUGUUUGUUUUGUCGUAGUUGUUCAUGUUUCCAACCGUGACUAUAUGAUGUUGAGAUCCACCUUUUCACACUGAGGACAACUGAGGGACUCGUACACAACUAUUACAAAAAGUGCAAACAUUCAUUGAUGCUCAAGAAGGCAACACUCUACAUUAAGAGCCAAGGGGGUGUAAACUUUUGAACAGGAUGAUCGGUGUGAAUUAUUUUGUUUAAAGAUCUUAUUUUUUCAUUUAGUACUGCCCUUCAGAAGCUACAUAAAUAACAAUUUACACCAAUUAUCCUGUUCAAAAGUUUGCAACCCCCCCCCCCCCCCCCCCCGGCUGUAUCAUUUUGCUUUCUUGAGCAUCAGUGAAUGUUUGCACCUUUUGUAAUAAUUCCCUCAGCUGUCCUCAGCAUGAAAAGAUGGUUCUCAAAAUCAUAUAGCCACUGUUGGAAACAUGAACAACUAUGACACAAAAACAGUCCUUGAUCAUGCAGGUAACAACACACAGCAUCAAGAAUCAAGUGUAUGUAAACUUUUGAACUGGGUAAUUUGUGUAAAUUCAGUUAUUAUUGGGUCUUGUGGACUAUAUGUAAACAUGUUAUAUGAAAUAGUUUAUUUAGGCAGAACUAAAUAAAAAACAACAUGCAAUUUUAAUGAUUCCUCUUAUUUUAAAAAUGAGUAACAUUUUGCAGAUUCUGCAAGGGGUGUGUAAAUUAAUGAGCACAUCACUUUUUCAUUUCUUCCAACCUUGUGUUCAUUUAAUAAUUGGCACAUUAAACAACUUAAUGGUUGUGUUUGGGCAGUCCCACUAAGAAUCUUUUUCUUUCAGAGACAAGAUGUGAAUAUCUGGUGUUGAAGGAUAUUUGUACUGUUUGAUGAAUAAUUUAAAUGCUCUAUAAAGAGUGCACUAUUAUGUUAAAAAGAAAUAUUUUAAAUGAAAUGAAUACCCACGCCAUGCUCUACUAUAUUCUCUGCAUGCAGUGCAAUGUAGAUUCAAUAGAUUGGUGAAUAUAUUUUGUAUAUUUAUAGCCCCAUCAUGUAAAUAAGAAUGAUCUUUACUGACAUGUCUGGAUAUAAACAUGGAUUAAACGGGAUGUCAGCUAAGCAGCUUGUCCCUUACAGCAAUAUAUUGUAUUUUAAACAUUGAAAUAAUGUUUAAGAGGAAU
ensembl:lncRNA